CCCUUAGAUGUUCUGGGCCGCACGCGCGCUACACUGACGAAUGCAACGAGCUUAUAACCUUGGCCGAAAGGUCUGGGUAAUCUCCAAAUUUCGUCGUGAUGGGGAUAGAUUAUUGCAAUUAUUAAUCUUCAACGAGGAAUGCCUAGUAAGCGCAAGUCAUCAGCUUGCGUUGAUUACGUCCCUGCCCUUUGCACACACCGCCCGUCGCUCCUACCGAUUGAAUGGUCCGGUGAAGCGUUCGGACCGUGGCCUUUGGACGGUUCGCCGUCUGUUGGCUGCGGGAAGUUCGUUAAACCUUAUCAUUUAGAGGAAGGAGAANUCGUANCA
rnacentral:rRNA from 1 species